UACGGGGGGGGCAAGCGUUGUUCGGAAUUACUGGGCGUAAAGGGCUCGUAGGCGGCCAACUAAGUCAGACGUGAAAUCCCUCGGCUUAACCGGGGAACUGCGUCUGAUACUGGAUGGCUUGAGAUUGGGAGAGGGACGCGGAAUUCCAGGUGUAGCGGUGAAAUGCGUAGAUAUCUGGAGGAACACCGGUGGCGAAGGCGGCGUCCUGGACCAAUACUGACACUGAGGAGCGAAAGCCAGGGGAGCAAACGGG
rnacentral:rRNA from 1 species